UGCCGAAACCUGGGAUCGAACCAGGGACCUUUAGAUCUUCAGUCUAAGGUCUCAGAAAGUGAGAUAAGAC